UCAUCUCCGGGGGUAGAGCACUGUUUCGGCAAGGGGGGCAUCCCGACUUACCAACCCGAUGCAAACUGCGAAUACCGGAGAAUGUUAUCACGGGAGACACACGGCGGGUGCUAACGUCCGUCGUGAAGAGGGAAACAACCCAGACCGCCAGCUAAGGUCCCAAAGUCAUGGUUAAGUGGGAAACGAUGUGGGAAGGCCCAGACAGCCAGGAUGUUGGCUUAGAAGCAGCCAUCAUUUAAAGAAAGCGUAAUAGCUCACUGGUCGAGUCGGCCUGCGCGGAAGAUGUAACGGGGCUAAACCAUGCACCGAAGCUGCGGCAGCGACACUAUGUGUUGUUGGGUAGGGGAGCGUUCUGUAAGCCUGUGAAGGUGUGCUGUGAGGCAUGCUGGAGGUAUCAGAAGUGCGAAUGCUGACAUAAGUAACGAUAAAGCGGGUGAAAAGCCCGCUCGCCGGAAGACCAAGGGUUCCUGUCCAACGUUAAUCGGGGCAGGGUGAGUCGACCCCUAAGGCGAGGCCGAAAGGCGUAGUCGAUGGGAAACAGGUUAAUAUUCCUGUACUUGGUGUUACUGCGAAGGGGGGACGGAGAAGGCUAUGUUGGCCGGGCGACGGUUGUCCCGGUUUAAGCGUGUAGGCUGGUUUUCCAGGCAAAUCCGGAAAAUCAAGGCUGAGGCGUGAUGACGAGGCACUACGGUGCUGAAGCAACAAAUGCCCUGCUUCCAGGAAAAGCCUCUAAGCAUCAGGUAACAUCAAAUCGUACCCCAAACCGACACAGGUGGUCAGGUAGAGAAUACCAAGGCGCUUGAGAGAACUCGGGUGAAGGAACUAGGCAAAAUGGUGCCGUAACUUCGGGAGAAGGCACGCUGAUAUGUAGGUGAAGUCCCUCGCGGAUGGAGCUGAAAUCAGUCGAAGAUACCAGCUGGCUGCAACUGUUUAUUAAAAACACAGCACUGUGCAAACACGAAAGUGGACGUAUACGGUGUGACGCCUGCCCGGUGCCGGAAGGUUAAUUGAUGGGGUCAGCGCAAGCGAAGCUCUUGAUCGAAGCCCCGGUAAACGGCGGCCGUAACUAUAACGGUCCUAAGGUAGCGAAAUUCCUUGUCGGGUAAGUUCCGACCUGCACGAAUGGCGUAAUGAUGGCCAGGCUGUCUCCACCCGAGACUCAGUGAAAUUGAACUCGCUGUGAAGAUGCAGUGUACCCGCGGCAAGACGGAAAGACCCCGUGAACCUUUACUAUAGCUUGACACUGAACAUUGAGCCUUGAUGUGUAGGAUAGGUGGGAGGCUUUGAAGUGUGGACGCCAGUCUGCAUGGAGCCGACCUUGAAAUACCACCCUUUAAUGUUUGAUGUUCUAACGUUGACCCGUAAUCCGGGUUGCGGACAGUGUCUGGUGGGUAGUUUGACUGGGGCGGUCUCCUCCUAAAGAGUAACGGAGGAGCACGAAGGUUGGCUAAUCCUGGUCGGACAUCAGGAGGUUAGUGCAAUGGCAUAAGCCAGCUUGACUGCGAGCGUGACGGCGCGAGCAGGUGCGAAAGCAGGUCAUAGUGAUCCGGUGGUUCUGAAUGGAAGGGCCAUCGCUCAACGGAUAAAAGGUACUCCGGGGAUAACAGGCUGAUACCGCCCAAGAGUUCAUAUCGACGGCGGUGUUUGGCACCUCGAUGUCGGCUCAUCACAUCCUGGGGCUGAAGUAGGUCCCAAGGGUAUGGCUGUUCGCCAUUUAAAGUGGUACGCGAGCUGGGUUUAGAACGUCGUGAGACAGUUCGGUCCCUAUCUGCCGUGGGCGCUGGAGAACUGAGGGGGGCUGCUCCUAGUACGAGAGGACCGGAGUGGACGCAUCACUGGUGUUCGGGUUGUCAUGCCAAUGGCACUGCCCGGUAGCUAAAUGCGGAAGAGAUAAGUGCUGAAAGCAUCUAAGCACGAAACUUGCCCCGAGAUGAGUUCUCCCUGACUCCUUGAGAGUCCUGAAGGAACGUUGAAGACGACGACGUUGAUAGGCCGGGUGUGUAAGCGCAGCGAUGCGUUGAGCUAACCGGUACUAAUGAACCGUGAGGCUUAACCUU
rnacentral:rRNA from 1 species